rnacentral:miRNA from 1 species
AGAUGAGUAUGGUGCAUUGGA